rnacentral:rRNA from 1 species
UACGAAGGGUGCAAGCGUUGUUCGGAAUUACUGGGCGUAAAGCGCGCGUAGGCGGGUCCGUAAGUCGAUUGUGAAAUACCUGGGCUUAACCCGGGAAUGGCAGUCGAAACUGCAGAUCUUGAAUGUCUGAGAGGAUGGCGGAAUUCCCGGUGUAGUAGUGAAAUACGUAGAUAUCGGGAAGAACACCUGAGGCGAAGGCGGCUAUCUGGCGGUACAUUGACGCUGAUGCGCGAAAGCGUGGGGAGCAAACAGG